UCCAAGAAAAACUUUAUUUCUUAUCGUGUCUGAUCUUACUCUGUAUAAACCAAAAAACUUAAUAUUCUGAAACAUAAUUUCUAUUUACAAAAAAGAAACGUUUCCUUCUUUUUUAUAUUUUUCAGAAAAAAUUAAAUCUUGGUCGUUUGCGGACGUCACGCUAAAAGAAAAAUCUUGAAGGAUCGUUUGUUGGUAACGUGGAUUUUUUUUAUGCAACGGAAAUGGAGCAUGUCCUUGAGGAUAAUUCAUUGAGUGACCACCAAACGGUUGUUGCGGCAUCGGAGGUAUAUAUGGACUUCCAGGAUUAGAAUGAGGAAUUGUUUGACUUGGAUAAGGCAUUGAAUGUGAUGGAUAUGGAGGAUUAAGCGGAUGUGAAGAUUGCGAUCCGAAAUUGUUGUUGGGAUAUACGCUUGGUUUAAAACCAAUUGGCGAAUUAUUGUUAGGAUAUACUUCUGGUUUAAAUCCAAUUGGAGAUUGGUGUAUAGGCAUUCCAGCUCCUUGAUUAACAUGUGUACCAGAUUGUCCAAAAGAUGGUGCUUAGAAGUAAAAUAUUGAAUUAUUAUAAUUUAACGAAGUGUUCUAUCGUCUGUACGUACAAAUAUAUAUUACCUUGAGGUGGUGCAGAUGAAAAAAGAGGCUUCGAGUCGUGAAUUGGUAUAAUUGGAGCUGACGGAGCGUAAGGCGAUGAUGGUGGUUUUGCGUUUGUGCUAAAGCCUAUGUUAGACGUCUGAUGAUUUACGUCAGUUUCUAGGAAAUAAAAAUGAAGUUUUGUAGAAUAAAAUAAAAUAAAACAAAAAUAUAUUAUACACACACACACACACACACACACACAAUCAGUAUAACUCACUUGGCUUUGUUGCUCCACCUCCUUCGCCAUGUAAAAAUGGCGUAUUGAUAUCUUUAUGUGAUUGUUGAUGUGUAACUGUGCUUCCUAAAAUAUUAAUAUUUAUUUACUGUAUUUAUCGACAAAUGUUUACACAUGCAAAUAUCGCUAUGAUUUGAAAAUAUUUUAUCUUUUAGUAUAUUUUAUCGUGGUCAUUUGUUAUAAACAACGUUAUUUAUUAACAGAUUAUUCAUGUGUAUGAUAAUAUACCGGUCAUAUGCCCAGUAUUUAAUGGCUUUGAAUUUAUCGACGAAAUUUUUCCAUGAUCUGACGAACUCGAAAUGUGCCCUCCUGAAGGAUGAUGUCCACCCGAGGAUAACGUAGGCUUAGAAAUUCGAUGACUCGAAGAUGUACGGCUACUGCCAAAACGUGAUGAAAAUGACGAUUUUAUUGCACUUGUAUAGCCUGUAGAGAAUAUAUAAUAUAUGGUUAAAUAUAA